UUGUUCGCCAAACAACUACGAGUAGUAACUUAAAACUUAAAAGACUUGACGGUACUUCAUCACAACCUAGAGGAGCCUGUCCAAUAACCGAUAACCCACGAUUAACCCAACCCCUUCUCGCCAACAGUCUAUAUACCACCGUCGCAAGCUUACCCUGUAAAAGAAACAAAGUAAGCUAAAAAGUUCUACACUAAAACGACAGGUCGAGGUGUAACUCAUGAAAGGGCAAAGAUGGGCUACACUCUCUUAUCAGAGAACACGGACAACACUGUGAACAUAGUGAUCGAAGGAGGAUUUAGCAGUAAGAUAGGAACAAAAUACCCAACUGAACACAACGCAAUGAAGUGCGUACACACCGCCCGUCAUCCCUGCCCAC
rnacentral:rRNA from 1 species